rnacentral:tRNA from 1 species
GCGGCCGUGGCGGAACGGCAGACGCGCUAGGUUGAGGGCCUAGUGGGAGUAUUCCCGUGGAGGUUCAAACUUCUCGGCCGCA